CUACUGCUGCUGCUGCUGCUGCUGCUGCUGCUGCUGCUGCUGCUCAGACUGGGCAGGACGUGAAGCGCUGAAACAAGACUGGCAACCAGAUCGACCUGAAUGCACGACAGGAAGAGUUCUCUACACUGGCAUUGGCAAAAAAGCCUCCAACUCAUUCACAAUCUAGGAUCCACAUUCUUAAUUGGUGAAUAAAUGGGAAUUCAUCAGUCCACUCCAUCACUUCUUGUAAAUUUUGAAAUCUGGUCACCUUACUCACCAACAUCAUACUGGACUUUCCUGCGGAUUUCAACACCAUCACACCAUCCAUCUUUCAUACCUUGAAUCCUCCGUACUGCCCUCUCCUGGCUAAGGUCCUAUCUCACAAACAGACAACACUUCAACAUCAACAACUGCAGAAACUCCACUGGUGCCAAUUCAAAGUCCUUCUCCUAAUUCACAAAGCCCUCCAUAGCCAGUCCCCCUGCUACCUCAGUGACCUGCUCCACCACCACACUCCAUCUUUCAACAUCCACCGCUCUGAUGCCAAUGUUUAUUAGUGGAGUAGUGUGACAAAAGUAAAAACUGACAUAGAAGAUGAACAUAAAGCAAUUCUGAUAAUGUAUAUGUUUCAAUGUACAUCUGCUCACCUGACCUACUGUUUUAAGACAGACUUGAAAAACUGAACCUGAACCUGUCCUUUAAUCCCUCUUAAUUAUUACUUCAGUAGAGUUACGAUAACUUGUGCAACUUGUGAAACACAAGUCUUAUGCUUGCUCCAGAAAACCACACAUCACCACCACAGAGCCAAUUUAAUAUUUUCAGUGUAACAACGUCCUACCAGUCAGACUGUGCACUCUUGCAAUGAUGUCCUCCAAAGUGGAAAUGUUCCUGUAUGGCUUACUUACCAAAAAACUUCCACCUGGGCAGUGCUGCGUAGAGUGCUGCACUUAGGUCAAUAUUUUCUGAUAAGGCACUGAGGACAGAUUCAGUUCAAUUUUAUUUAGAUAGCACCAAAUCAUAACAGAAGUUAUCUCAUGACACAACAUAUAGAGCGGGUCUAACUCAUACUCUUAUAACAGGCAUGUCCAAAGUAUGGCUUGGGGGCCAAUCACGGCCCAUAGUCAGAUUUCAUGCGGCCCGCAGCUUAAUUUUUAUAAUAUAUUAUUAAUGGCCUGCUAGGAUUUUCACUGUAUGGCUAGAAGAUUUGACUUUUUUGGCUGACAUAACGGAGCAUCUGAAUACACUAAACGUUAACCUCUAAGGACAUACUGUAACUGCUGCUGUUAUAUAUCUGUAGAUGAUGAAUGACUUUGUGAGCAAGAGUGAAACGUUUUAAACUUAAAUGUUAACAGACAUUACUCAUAAUAAGUCAUGUUCAAUGAACAUCAGGUUAAGAUUUGUAUCAACUUCAUGCAAACCUCCUGCAUUUGUAUGGAACUUUUAUUGGUAUUUUUUCAUUUUUUAAAUGUUAGUACUGGUCCUUGUGCAUCUUCAUAUUGUCAAAUCUAGCCCUCUUUAAAAGAAGUUUGGACAUCGCUGUCUUAUAAUAAAAAAUAUAAUAAUAUUAUUUACAGAGAUCCAACAGAUGACAACAAACCUGGAUUUCCACUAUUUCAGCAAGUGAAGAAACUAAUACCAAACCUGAAAACAGAACGUCAUUCUGUCAUCAGUGUCCACCUUUCUGCUUGAUCAUGGUGACGUCCCCUUGGAGUAAGACUGAAUUGGAGUACACCGGCACACCCGUUGCAGUGUAUGUAAUUGUAUUGUUUCUCCAUAAAUAUCAUUUCUA